rnacentral:rRNA from 1 species
ACCCGCUGAAUUUAAGCAUAUAAGUAAGUGGUGGAAAUUAAACCAAAUGGGAUUCCUUAAGUAAUUGCGAAUGAACAAGGACAUGCUUAGCUUGACAAAUGGAGCCUUUGGCUUUGACUUGUAUUGUUGAGAUGUAUUACCAACAGAGGUGCAGGUGUGAGCUUAUUGAAAGAAAGCGUCAAUGAGGGUGAGAAUCCUGUUUGUCAUGCGCAAUCCUUUGUGCACGGUAUAUGUUUGCUGAGUCACACUCCUUGGCAUUGGAAUGCAAAGUGGGUGGUAAGUUUCAUGUAAAGGUAAAUAUAGAAUUGAGACUGAUAGCACACAAGUGCCAUGAGGGAAAUAUGAAAAGGACUUUGAAAAGAGAAUUAAAUGAGUUUGUAUUUGCUGAACAGAAAGUAAACAGACUUGAUUUUGCUGGGUGAGAUUGUGGUGCUUGCUUGACAACAGGUGUUGGCUGCAAGUGUGAUGAUUCUUGCUUUGCUUGCCAGUUUCCCUUUGUACAUUUGAUUACCCUUGCACAUGAAUGGUAAUUUUCUUGCGGGGUUUGGAUUGCAUGUGUUUGUGAUGAUUUGUGUUUUGAUGCAUGUGUCUGGUGAAUUUUGAUGGUGCUCACUUCUUUAGGGGGGGGGUUCUCCUCUUUCAGCUUUCAAAUCCUGACACACACUUGCUGGCAAAAUGCUUCUGCUUGACCCGUCUUGAAACACGGACCAAGGAGUCUAACAGAUGUGCAAGCUUGAGGGUUGCAUACCUUUGUGUACAAUGAAAGUGUUGGCUGGGAUAUUUGCACCAGCAGCCGACCGAUUAGCAGACAGAGGUUUGAGUUGGAGCAUAUCUAUUAGGACCCGAAAGAUGGUGAACUAUGCCUGAACAGAAUGAAUUCAGAGGAAACUCUGAUGGAGGUUCGUAUCGAUACUGACGUGCAAAUCGUUCGU